rnacentral:misc_RNA from 1 species
AAGUCGUAACAAGGUUUCCGUAGGUGAACCUGCGGAAGGAUCAUUAACACGUAUCCAACGUUAAAACCCCCUGUGAACCUUCAUUGUGGACCCCCAAAUCAUCGCCGAACAGUUUUGAUUCAGGGACCUCUGCAUGGUUUGGGCAGCUCCGCGAGGCAAGUGGCCUGGCAUUCGUAAGAAUGGCGCAGUCACGAUCGCUAGAGGCCGACACGGCCGGCGACCGGGUCACUGGGCUCUGCCCCCCUAUCACCUUUGCAUGAAACCGGGCCUGCGCUUAAUUGUGCGGCCACCAAACUUCGAACAACUGUUAACAAUGGAUAUCUUGGUUCUC